rnacentral:rRNA from 1 species
UACGGAGGGUGCAAGCGUUAUCCGGAUUCACUGGGUUUAAAGGGUGCGUAGGUGGGCUGGUAAGUCCGUGGUGAAAUCUCCAAGCUUAACUUGGAAACUGCCGUGGAUACUAUUAGUCUUGAAUCUCGUGGAGGUAAGCGGAAUAUGUCAUGUAGCGGUGAAAUGCUUAGAUAUGACAUAGAACACCGAUAGCGAAGGCAGCUUGCUACACGAGUAUUGACACUGAGGCACGAAAGCGUGGGGGAUCAAA